CCCUUCCCCCCACUCCUCCGCCCAUCACACACACACAGUCCAGCCUCCCACCGGACCCCUGACCUCAGUACCCCCUGCCGCGCAAGGAGGAAUAAGUCAGGAGGAAUGGAAUUGCUGGAUCUUACGAAGGCAUUUGCUCAGCUUUGGUAGACAUGGCCAAGAGGUUUCCAAAGGGCUGCACCCGCUUACCACUUACCAACAAUAUCUUAGAAUCCAGUGGCUCCAAGACCAAGUAUUGAUUGAGGACCUACUGUGUAGCUGGGAAAGAGCAGGGCGCAGGACACACUGAGCCCCUACCCUCAGGAGUUCCAACAGGAGACAGACUAUACACACCUCAGCAAACACCCGGACAAACUACUGCCUAGUGGAGAUUCCACUCAUGGGCCCAGAACAUUUUAUGCUGAAACUGCCUCAUACCUGUUCACAAGUGAUUUGAGUCCAUCUCCUCCAAACAAACAUUAAAAUCAGCCAAGUUUCGAUGACAGUGGUUCUCAAACUCCAGUGUGCCCUAGAAUCAACUGGAUGGCUUAUUAACACAGAUUGCUGGGCCUCAUCCUCAGAGAUACUGAUUCUGUAGGCAGUUCUUCGGUGGGGUCUAAGCGUCUGCAUUUUUAACAGACUCUCAGGUGAUAUGAUGCUCCUGGUCUGGGGACCACAUUUUGGGAACCAACAAUCUACAGAAUUACUUCCUAUAACUGGCAUGAUUAUUAAGUGAUGAUGAAUCUUUGUGACAAUGCAAAAGAAGUUGAUCACUUAAUCUCAGUAAUAUUUCAACAUGUGUGCUCUAGUUCUCCUCCACAUGGUGAUAGAAGACUCUUCCAGGUUGUGGCUUACCAGUUCCCACCCAGGGCCUCAGAAUCUUCUACCUCUAGUUAGAAAACAAGGCAAAAUGAGAUCAGAAAGACAAAGCCCUCGAACAAAGAGAAGCAACAGUUUUUGUUACAUUUUGUCUUCUGUAUGUCUCCUUCUUAAAGAAUUUAGCUCCAAAUUAUACUCGGGAAGAGAAAAAAAUCAAAAGUUCCAGUAGGCCGCGAGGCCUAUGAUCCACCGUGUUGAAGGAAGAUUUGCUUCACCUCACCCCGCGGUAAUACUAAGUUGUUCACACGCUGUGAAGAAGACCGGAACACUAGGCUGUCAACUGUUGGGGCCUACCUGCGCCAGACUUCUUCCUCAGUGGCCAGCUUUUUCCCCCACAGUUAGCCACCAGGGGGCCGCCUGCUUGGAACAAGUGGUGUAGACGCCACAGCUUUUCUCCAAACCAACCAAAACAUUCCGGGGCAGCUUUGGAGCAAAGCCCAGGAACUUCCCUGCAAAGGAGAACAGCUCUCCAACUACAGAAGCCUGCAAGUCCUAUGGUGCACCCUUAUUAAGAGUAGAGAAGAAAGCACGGAUUUCUCACCGAGGACCAAAGGGAAAUGGCGUCUCUGGGGCCUCAACUUUCUUAAAAGUUCAUCAGCGAAACUCUGCUCAUCCAGGGGGGUGGUUGAUAAUGCUGUUGGCAGGGGUCCGGGGCCUCUCCCCCCUUUCCCUGGCACGCUCAGAAGCGAGAAUAAAACAUACAUGUCACUGGCUGAAAAUCUAGAGAACCCUCCAAUAAAUAACCUAUACAUUGUCAGGCCGCUGAGGAUCCAUAUCGUCAUAACUCUAUAACACUGCGUGUUACACGAAUAGAUGUGAAUAUUAAAUUAUGAUGUCGGAAUUAUUUUAA